AUUUUAAUGAAUUAGCAACCUCUUCGGUCGGUUACUAAUCAUAUAUUUUUUUUUAGUGUUAUUAGUCAUUUUACACUUUAAUAAUAACAAUUACAUAUAAUUUUACCAAACAUUUGUUGCCUAUAGUUGUGGAAGUAGUAAUUGCCUUAUAAAAAGUAUCAAUGUAUACCAUAAAAGAUAUUUUUUUUCCCUUCUAAACAUGGAAAAUUCUUAUCUAUAUUAACAAUAAUGAGAUCCAUAUGUAGAACAACGUUUAAUUUCUAUGGAUUUAGUCUCAUUCAAAUUUAUCUUAUAGGAAUCCUACUAACUAAAAUCAAGUAAUUCUAAAUCUGAUUGGGAAGUAAUUUUAUUACAAAUACAUGAAAAAUUGAUGUUUUUCUUCAAGUAUCCAUAGAAAAUAUUUUUCAUCUAAUUGUUUAAUGGAAAUAGAGAAACCAGAAGAUAGAAGAGAGAAAUAACUAAAUCAUAGUUUUCAACAGA
rnacentral:misc_RNA from 1 species